CUAACCUCUGCGCCGUCGCUGCCAAUUCAGCGACCGGAUUUGACCGUCCGGCCU
rfam:Pseudomonas sp. 1 R 17 genome assembly PSEFL294_LIB5394, contig: PSEFL294_LIB5394_000058